UCGUGAGAUGUUGGGUUAAGUCCCGUAACGAGCGCAACCCUUGUCCUUAGUUACCAGCACGUUAUGGUGGGCACUCUAAGGAGACUGCCGGUGACAAACCGGAGGAAGGUGGGGAUGACGUCAAGUCAUCAUGGCCCUUACGGCCUGGGCUACACACGUGCUACAAUGGUCGGUACAAAGGGUUGCCAAGCCGCGAGGUGGAGCUAAUCCCAUAAAACCGAUCGUAGUCCGGAUCGCAGUCUGCAACUCGACUGCGUGAAGUCGGAAUCGCUAGUAAUCGUGAAUCAGAAUGUCACGGUGAAUACGUUCCCGGGCCUU
rnacentral:rRNA from 1 species